rnacentral:rRNA from 1 species
UACGAAGGGGGCUAGCGUUGUUCGGAAUCACUGGGCGUAAAGCGCACGUAGGCGGAUCUUUAAGUCAGGGGUGAAAUCCCGAGGCUCAACCUCGGAACUGCCUUUGAUACUGGGGAUCUCGAGUCCGGGAGAGGUGAGUGGAACUGCGAGUGUAGAGGUGAAAUUCGUAGAUAUUCGCAAGAACACCAGUGGCGAAGGCGGACUCACUGGCCCGGAACUGACGCUGAGGUGCGGAAAGCGU